AGGCAUGCAAGUCGUGCGGAAAGGCCCCGCAAGGGGUACUCGAGCGGCGAAAGGGAUAGUAACACGUAGGUACCUACCCCCGGGACGGGGAUAGCCGGAGGAAACUCCGAUUAAUACCCGAUGAUGUCCUUGGACCAAAGGUGUGAUUCCGCCCGGAGACGGGCCUGCGUCCUAUCAGCUAGUUGGUGAGGUGACGGCUCACCAAGGCAACGACGGGUAGCGGGUGUGAGAGCACGACCCGCAUCACUGGGACUGAGACACUGCCCAGACACCUACGGGUGGCUGCAGUCGAGAAUCCUCGGCAAUGGGCGAAAGCCUGACCGAGCGACGCCGCGUGCGGGAUGAAGGCCCUCGGGUUGUAAACCGCUGUCAGUGGGGAGGAAGUCUGGUGGGGAUCACCCCAUCAGUUGACCUAUCCGCAGAGGAAGGACGGGCUAAGUUCGUGCCAGCAGCCGCGGUAAUACGAACCGUCCUAACGUUAUUCGGAAUCACUGGGCUUAAAGGGUGCGUAGGCGGCUCAGAAAGUUGGGUGUGAAAUCCCUCGGCUUAACCGAGGAAUUGCGCUCAAAACUACUGGGCUUGAGGGAGACAGAGGUGAGCGGAACUUAGGGUGGAGCGGUGAAAUGCGUUGAUAUCCUAAGGAACACCGGUGGCGAAAGCGGCUCACUGGGUCUUUUCUGACGCUGAGGCACGAAAGCCAGGGGAGCGAAGAGGAUUAGAUACCCUAGUAGUCCUGGCCGUAAACGAUGAGCACUAGAUCGAAGAUCUCUCCAUAGGUUUUUGGUCGUAGCGAAAGUGUUAAGUGCUCCGCCUGGGGAGUAUGGGUCGC
rnacentral:rRNA from 1 species